rnacentral:rRNA from 1 species
UACGUAGGUGGCAAGCGUUGUCCGGAAUUAUUGGGCGUAAAGCGCGCGCAGGCGGUCCUUUAAGUCUGAUGUAAAAGCCCACGGCUCAACCGUGGAGGGUCAUUGGAAACUGGGGGACUUGAGUGCAGGAGAGAAGAGUGGAAUUCCACGUGUAGCGGUGAAAUGCGUAGAGAUGUGGAGGAACACCAGUGGCGAAGGCGACUCUUUGGCCUGUAACUGACGCUGAGGCGCGAAAGCGUGGGGAGCGAACAGG